CUGUGGUCGUCGUUACUAAUCACGGGGGACCCCAUCUGUGCAGCACUUCAUGUGUAAAAGCAUUUCCCUGCCCUUAUUCAGUGUCCGUCAUGGAAAAUGACUUUUACCCUUCAAGUGUUUUUUUGUUUUGUUUUGUUUUGGUUUUGGUUUUUUAAUUCCUUAAAGCACCUAGCAGAAUACUGUGAACACAGUGCGUUUCAUUUAAACUGACUUUCCUGUAGGUUGAAAAAAUAAGUGAGAUACUUAGUGCCCGUGAAUACUCAGGAAAAACUCACCAAGACGGUCAUCAAAAGUUGAUAAAAAAGUUAAGUGAACUCAAAAUAACUGUGUUCUUGUAGAAUGUUUACAAAGCUGUUAGGGACCCUCAGAAUGGGAAUUUGGGGGAUGAAUUGUAUGACUAACUUGUCACUGGAAAACCAAAAAAACUCAGAAGAAAGCCGGGUGUGUUCAGUAUUCCCCAUAUUGCCUUUAAAGCAAACACAGCCCAACUGUUGAAACCACGGAGCAACUUUGGCUAGUAAGAGAUUCCCAAAGCCCAGCACUUCUGUGCACACGCACAGGUGCGCUCACACGCCACACACACAGAUGGAAGUUAACAUUUUGAUAACGUGGAUGAUGGAGGUUUCCAUUUUUUUUCUUGGCUAAUACUUGAUAUUUUUAAAAGUGCGAGUUAUCUUUCUUCUUGUUGCCUGGCUGAGUUGACCUUGAGUGAUGGCUAGGAAGUCAGCAUUUCUUCAUGAGUAGUUUCCAUUUUCUUCAUGUUCGUCUUAGGAAAAAAAUCAUUUUUAAGCUUACCCAGGAGCUGCAUGGUUAAUUUACUAUGGCAUCUCCCUGAAGCUCAAAACCUGCAAAUUGUUUUAGCUAAAUACCAUAAUUAUAGGUUUAGCAGUGAAACCAAGGACUUGGUGGGAAUUUUUCAUUUGCUUUUGUUUAAAAGAACUAAAACCAGAUUGUUCAGGGUAAGAAGAAACACAACAGGAAUUUUAUUUUUACUCUCAUAAAAAUGCCAGCCAUAGUUUGCUGGGGGUAGGAGUCUCGGAGACGAGAGGGAAGGAGGAGUCCUGCUGAUUUUUCUCCCUUUUCUACCCCCUUUCCAUCCCAUCUCUCCCCUUCCUGUCCCAUCUCUCCCCUUCCUAUUCCUUUUCUCCCCUUCCCGUUCACGGGAAUGCCACUUUCUCACAGGGCCUCCCCCACCAGAAUCCUCCCAUGUUAGUGAGCACAGGCGGUGUAGACGGCCUGCAGCAGGUGGUGUGGACGGCCUGCAGGUACACUCGUUGCCCAGGGUAUCUGGUGUCUCUCUGGCUUAGCUGUCGCGCCUGUGCUGCCCAUGACUGACCAGGCUUCACCAGUUCACAGCGGAUCCAUGCUACUUUGCCUUCUCUGAAGGGAGGAAAAAGAACUUGAAUUAGAAGUUUUCCGUCAGCGUACAGGAGGUCAGGUCCUCAGCAGUCUCCCUCCCAGGAAUUGGAGCCCGGGGUGCCUGUUGCCCAUGUCUCCUCCGAGUCUGAACACAAGCAGUGGCUCAGGCCAGCUGAUGCUUUCCUCACUGAGCUCCUUCUCUGCACAUGAAGCGGAAGAUGGGGCGUGCCAUCCUGAGGUCGGGCUGCUUUCCGCCAUCCACCCAAGCCAGGUCCCUACUGCCCCGCACUGUGCACCUUGCCUGGUUAGGACCUCUUUGCUCUCCCACCUCCAGUCUCUCCAGACCCUUCGUCCAGCUUCAAUUCCACAUCCCCCAGCGAGCCUUUCUCAAACACCUGGGUGCACGAUUCGUAGUUUACAAGUAUUGUGGAAUCGUGCCUUUCAACUUGUAUUCCUUGGAGCCCUAGAGUUUCUGCGGUGUCCCAGGAGCUGUCACAGUGGGGAGAGAGCUGGGUGGAAGGGAUUCUGACCCCCCACUCACCGUCCCUGCCUCAAGAGCCCCAGUCACCCCGAGUAUGUCACAGGCCACCUUCUCUCCAUUUCUAGGAGAGAAAAGAGUCUAAACUUUCAUUCCAUGGAUGACAAAACAGAGGUCCUCAGAGGUCAGCCUAUUCUCCAAAGACACAUAUCAAACUCAUGGCAGCACCGGACCUAGAACCUUGGUCUUCUAAUCACCGCCAUUGCUCUCCCCUUCAAGCCUUCUCUCCUCCUCUGAACUUGGAGGAGACACAGCAGGGGAAGGAAUCCUUGGCUGGGAGGAGGACUCCAGGCUGUGGGCCAGGCUGGAUGACCCUAGGCAGGUCCCUCCCCCGCUGGACCUUGGGAAAUCUUUUGGAGACAGACAGAAGCUCCCUUAGGUCUCUUCCUUCCACUCUGGGAUGCUAUGAAGAGGAGCCUUUAGCUGUCUCCUCUAGGCCCUUCAGGGCCGUGCUGGCUCAUGGAGCAAUCAUGUGUGGCUCUUUAAUUAAAAUUACAUUUUAGAAAAGCACUUCCUCAAUCACACCAGUCCCUUUAAGUGCUCAGCAGCCACAUGUGGCUUUAGUUUCUGUGUCAACAGCACUGUGGUAGAGGAACCCACCUGUUACCAGUACACCUGCCCCAGCCCCUUCUCAGCACAGAGGUGUGCUUUAGCGUCCAGAAGGAACUGGCCCCAGUAAGUCUGGGAUAAUUGCCUAUUCGCUAAAUGAAAAUGAGACACUUCCUGUCCGGGGUAGGCAUAAAAGAAACAGAAAUAAAAGCCAAUUAAAUAGGAAUGACAAGAUGAUAGUGCAGAUUCAAAAGAAAUAGGUAUGCACAAGUGACUUAAAGCAGAGUCCUCCUCUAGCCCAGGACACUCUUCAGUCUGGCUGCAGCUGGCUAGCUUCUUUUUUUUUUUUUUUUAAUUCUAAGAAAUAGAUUGAAAUGAAACGAUGGAAAAGAAGCAGGACUUCUCCCCGUGGGUGUCUGUGAUGUCCU
rnacentral:lncRNA from 1 species